AACGCACAUUGCGCCCCUUGGCAUUCCGAGGGGCAUGCCUGUUCGAGCGUUAUAAGUCCACUCAAGCUCUGCUUGGUAUUGGGCCCCACCGGCGACGGUGGGCCCUAAACUCAGUGGCGGUGCCGCUGGGCUCUGAGCGUAGUAACCAUCUCGCUACAGGACCCCGCGGUGAGCGACCAGCAACCCCAACUUUUCACAAGGUUAACCUCGAAUCAGGUAGGAAUACCCGCUGAACUUAA
rnacentral:misc_RNA from 1 species